CCUUAACCGAGUGAGGCCAGGAAUCAAACCUGCAUCCUCAGGAUACUAGUUGGCUCCUUAAUCGCUGAGCUUUUAAGGGGAACUUCCCCUCAAAACCCCUUCUUGAGCCCCAAAGUUUCUUUCCAGGCAGCUGGCUGAGGGGAGUCCUUUGGCACCACCUGGUGGCCACAGGGCAUAACAGCAGACAAAGAUGAGAAGCCCCAAGGAAGCUGCUUAACACUGGUCUCCCAAGCCAGCCUGGGAGAUCCUACGCUCCACUACAACCACCAGAUCUUAGUGGACACAACCUCCCCUCAAACCCCACUCAGCACCAGGGGCAUCCCAUGGCACAUUUUCCUAUGCCUGUUCCUACCCACUAAUCUUAUCACCUUCCUUAAUCCCACUAAUAACCUCAUCACCUUCCUUAAUAAGAAUCAAAAGCCUAGGCGCCUUUGUUCUAUGGAACAGAGUGCCUCCUGGUCCCCCACUUUCUAGAUCUAAGAGUCUUGUGUGUGCUGUUAUACCGCACUGUCCCUCUUCCAGGAUUCCCCGACUCCCUGCAGCGCUGGAUGCGACAGAGUGGCACCCAACGUGGGGCUGGAAGAGAGGCUCUGCCUGGAGCAGAGAAAUAAGGAAGGUCUGCCACGAGCUGGAGAACGUGAAACUACAGAUGGCAGAGACGGUAGCCUUGCAAUUGAUGGAGUCACGACUGUGAGCAAGCCAAGUAGAAACUUUAAACCAGGAUAACAAUGGGGCAGAAUCAAUUCAUCACAGGGAACACUCACUAUAUUCGGUUGUUUAAAUGUUACGUUCGUUGAGACAGUCAGGGGCUGGAGUAAACAGAGCCUAAGAGGAACUGUUAGAAGCCGUGAUCAAAUAUAAACCUUGUUUUCCAGGUGAGGGUAUUGCGGACCUGGAAAUGUUGCGAUCUUGUGGAAGAACAUUUAAACCAUGCCCACAAGUCUGGGGCCUGUCUUUCUGUUUCUUCUACAUGGGAAUCUACCAUUCCAGCCUUUUGUUAUAUGGGAACUACAUUUUUUCGUAUUUUUAUGUAUGCGUAUAUAUAUGUGUAUAUAUAUAUAUAUAUAUAUAGGGGACUGGUAAAGACGUGUUUAGGAGCCUUUGUGGGAACAUAAAGAAAAACCUCUGCCUUCUGCUCCCCCUCAGACUGAUCCCUUUCUUGUGAGUUUAAAUAAGCCCUUAGCUGUGGAGGCAACACUAACCCCCCUCCAAUCAGCCCGUCUAGAGGAUCAGACCUUUUUAUUAGCAUGCCUGUAACUAUUGUCCCCGAUUCUCAAAGUCUCAGGACAAAAUAUCCAUACGCAUAACCCUUUUGAUUUUAAAGCUCUUCUGGAGCAGGCAGCACAGGAUGGAGUUACAGCUCCCUUUACUAUGUGUAUGGUAGAAAGCUUCCCCCAUGGGAUUGGCAUGUGAUGCCAGAGCCACCCUAGAUGGUGGAGACUAUUAUAAUUUGGAAGUCUAGUCUUUCAGAUUUGUGUCAGGAACAGGCUCACUUAAAGAAAUUUUGAAAUGUUAGUUGGGACAGGCCCUUUUCUUGACUAUGGUCCCUGAGCCUGGCCACCCAAAGAGAGUGGAUGACAAUUCCUGACAAGAGGAAAUCCGCAAGGAGCUUUUGUGCAAUGCCUUCAAGGCCUACAGAAACGUACCCACAAUUUGUGGACCGCCUAACUACAGUGGUUACCAGCGCCAAGGAGCACAUUCUCAGGCAGCUGGUAUUUUAACAAUCAGCAUAUGAAAAUGCAAGUAAAGACUGUAAAAGGGCAAUGACCUCUGAUCAGAGAUUUGGGAGGCAUCUGAUUUUAUGAAGGUGUGUCAAGAUGCAGGAAGUACUAGGUCGGUCAUGCUCAAGCAAUGCUUACGGCUGCAUUGAAAGGAACGCUUAGCAGUUAAAUGUUUUCAUUGUGGAAAAGCAGGAUAGACAUUUUCAGAAAGAAUUUCGAGCUCAAUUAAAGAGGAAAUCAUCCCUAGCAACAGGAUCAUCUCCAGGACCGAGGCAUAACCCUGGUUUGUGUCCUCGAUGUCAGAGAGGAAAUCACUGGGCUAAUCAAUAUCGGUGUAAGUAUCCCCAAAACGGCUCUCCACUAACAACUCUGGUGUCGGGAAACGGGAGUCGGGGCCUGCCCAGCCCCCUCAACCAAUGAGGGCAUUUGUGGCUCAAACUGAUCUUAAGAUAGGAAAGCAUUGCCAGGAAGAAAGGGGAACAUCAGGAUUUGGAAGUUCGGGGACUUCUCAGGUCUUUUGGACUCAGGAAGUCACAACGGAAGUCUACAAAUAACCAUUAAGUUUAACGGAAAAAAUAUAAGGAGUUUAACAGAUACUGGAACUGAUGUCUCUUGUUAUAAUAAUUGGCCUCCCACAUGGCCUUUAAUUACCCCCAAAAUGAAGUUGAGGGGAUUAGGAGUUAAGACUGACUACAGUCCAAAGUCAGCAGAUGCUUUCCUGGGUGGACCAGGAGGAAAAAUAGGUUAUUUUAAACCUUACGUUGCUGAUAUACCCUAUACCUGUCACUUUAUGGGGAAGAGACCUCCUGCCUGCUGUUUGAGACUUAAAUGGACAACUGAGGAUGUCUGUAGUGGCGAUUCUAAUGAUUCUUCCCCUGGAUGGAAAACUAAUGAAAAAAAUUGGAUACCAAAAACAGGUUUAGGAAAAAAUAAUCGAGGCAUAAAAGAACCUAGAAACUUGCCCAUUAAGCUUGGUAAACAUGGAAUGGGUUCGAUGAGGACUUUUAAUAGAGGCCAUUGAAAAUUCUCGCUAGCCCAGGCACAUCCUAUACAGUGAAUUAAUGAUCCAAUUUGGAUAGAUCAGUGGCCCAUAACUCAGGAGAAAUUGACUAAAAUACAUGAGCUAAUAGCUCAGCAAUUGCAAAGCAGGACAUAUUGAGGAAAGUAAUAGCCCAUGGAAUACUCCUGUUUUUAUUCUUCCUAAAAAAUCAGGUAAAUGGAGACUCUUACGUGAUUUAAGAGAAAUAAAGCAAUGUACGCUAUGGGAGCCUUACAACCAGGCUUGCCUUCUCCUACUGCAAUUCCCUUAGAUUGGGCCGGCCUUGUUAUAGAUUUAAGACUUUUUUCACCAUACCAUGAGCCCCUCUAGAUAAAUGUUGAUUUGCUUUCUGUUUCUGCUUUAAAUAACGAGGGGCCUAUGAAACAUAUCAAUGGAAAGUAUUGCCACGAGGCAUGAACAACAGCCCUAUCACGUGCCAAAACUUUGUGGACUGAGCCCCAAUUCCUGUUAGACUUAAACAUCCUGAAGCACCUAUUUUUCAUUACAUGGAUAUUCUCUCUGCUCCAAAAGAACAAGUUUUUAACGUCUUGCUAGAUCCUGAAGUGUACCUUAAAGGGGCUCAUUAUAGCCCCAGAUAAAAAUCAAAAGACCCAUUUCAAUAUUUAGGAACUUUGAUAGAAGACCCUACUUUCAGCCACAGAAAAAUGCAAGUUUGCAGGGACCAACUGAAUACAUUAAAUGACUUUCAAAAACUAUUGGGAGAUAUUAAUUCGCUACCACCUUAUUUAGGAAUUACUACGAGUCAAUUAACUCACCUUUUAGAAACACUGAAGGGCAAUCCUGACCUUACCUCCCCCACAAGAGUAUUAAGACAAGCUUCGCUUACUUUAAAUGUUUUCACCUGCAAUGAAUAAGGAAUAACGCCCAUGGAACGCCAUGGCCAGUGUAUUCCUGGUACCUCGCCAUUAGUAUACUGGAAACAUCUGAGGAAAAUAUAUGGCAAGGCCCUGGUCCUUUAAUAACUUAGGAAGAGGUUAUGCUUGUAUCUUUCCAGAAACAGAGGGAGGCUACACCUUUUUGGAUUCCCAGCAGGUGAGUGAAACAGUGGCACGGAGAAGACCAACUGUCACACACGACUUCUGACGAAGGACCCUGGGAGUCUGGGGUCGACAUGCUGUUACAUUAGACAUUCUGGCUUUACAAAAGGAUGCGUCAUUAUCGCAGUCCAGUUUAUAAGCUAGGUUUCCCCCAAUAAAUGAAAACCACAAAAAUUAGAACAGGGCCCACAAACUCCAUUCCCUCAUCUUACUUGGCCUUUAAUGUCUCAGGGAAGAGGCUUCUUUUACACAGUUGUACCUUAAGUUUGUUUCUGAAGCGGAUUGUUGGAAUAUCUACAGGUAAUAUCAGAUGUCCCAUGAUAACCAGGAAGUGUAUAUAUAUACACUCUGGAAAAGUAUUUAAAGGGUUGUCUCCAGCCUAGAUAAAAAGUUUCUUAUCAGGAGUUCUUAAGCACCAUAUGAAGCAGUGAAGAAAAUUAACUCUUAAGUUUAUAUUUCUCACUUAAGGGCCUCUGUAUUGGACUGGUCUAGAGAGAGAACUACUGAACUUAUAACUCGCCCUAAAACAAGGCUCUAAUAAGAAAAACACCAAUGCAUGGACAAAAAGACAACAUCAGAAGUAGUCCACUGUCCCAAGAUUGUCACACCUGAACUCGUAUGGUUACUUGUUUUACUUCUGAUUUACACCCUGGUGGGUUUCUCCCCUGCAAGGCUGCUCCUAUUGUUGACAUUACUAGGUGGGGUCCGUCCCCUCACCUGGCUAAUACCUGCUCUGAUCUGGACCAAAGAUACAUUUCCAUCUAAUGUUAACGGGAUGAAAGCUCUUAAAUUUUUAAUUAUGAGCUUACUAAUACUGCUAUCUAUAUUUUAUUCAGUUUGCACAAAAUUGCUAUUUCUUGCAUUGCUGAAUGGCUGAUAAAAUGAUACACAGUCCCAUCUGAGGUUCCAUAGGAUCUCCAGAUAUGGGAAAAUGCAACAAGAGGGAAUAUUUUCCUGGACCAUAAGACUACAAAGACGUGGUGCAGAGACUUUUGAUCACCGCUACUAAGGUCUAGUCCAGUAACAGCCACAUUGAGCUGCCUAUCAGCAAAAUCUUUGCCAGAUCCAGGAAUAUCCAUUCCUAGGGCCGUGGGACAAAAUGGUCGAGUAUAUGACCAUGGGCAAGCACUAUGAACUGAAGUUGGCACUUGGCCUCAGCCUCUGCAUGGAGUCAAACAUGAGCCACUGCAGCUGCCGACCCGCAGAGCCCCAAGUGGGAACUCAGGGUGGAAACCAGGAGUGAGACGCUCUGGAAACACUGACGGAACAGGCCUUCAGAGUUAUAUACAGGAAAUACAUUCUAUACAAUAUUCUAUAAACAGCUGCACUAUGUCCUAAGGAUACCCCCCCAUAUCACCUAGAGGAUAACCGCAUUAUUGCCCAUGCCUGUUCCUGCCCACGAAUCUCGUCACCUUCCUUAAUCCCACUAAUCUCAUUACCUUUCUUAAUAAAAACCACAUGGGCUAAAGUCUAGGCCCUUUGUUCUAUGGAACAGAGUGCCUCCUGGUCCCCCAGUUUCUAAAUGUCAGAGUCCUCUGUGUUUUGUGAUGCCGCACCGUCCCUCUCCCAGGAUUCCAUUUCCCUGCCACGCUGGAUGCGACAUUGGGGAGCGUUUGAUAAAAUUGGAAUCAGAGGAGAUUGUUCUCGAUACUUACACAUAUGGCAGUAAACAUAGUGUUAUGUAUCUAAAAAUGUUCCUAGUAAGAGAACUCACUUUUUGUCACACAAUCACCAGAGGGAAUAAAGCAGUUUCUAUGGUUCAUUCCUUGCGUUAGCUGGAAGCAGGUCAGAAAUGGGGGCACAGCAGCACUUAUAUUUUCCUUCAAAGGACAGUCUAGUUCGAAAGCCCACAAUGGUCAAAGCGGACAUAGCUCACAGGCAUUUUCUAAGGAUGGCUUUGGCUUUUUUUUUCCUUUAAUACCAUGGAGUAUAUCCACAGUACAUGAACAGCAAAACUGAAUUGCCUGACAAUUCAGACAAGGUGGCUAUUUUGUCAAAUCCACUCACUGCCCCUUAGCAGUGAUCAAUUUCAAAAUUCAUGAUAGAUGAAAACCAUGAUGCUUAAUCAAGCCCUUUGUUGUUAUAUCCAAAGGGCUUCAUGCCAACUGAGUGAAGGGAGAAGAUCUACAUCCAUCAUUGAAGUUCAUUCAGAAAGUCCGGCCACUUAGAGGACCCCGAGAGCAUGGUUAAGCUGCAGGUUUGCUUUAACCGCCCCACCACCCAAAGGCUCCAGCCCAGCCUACAGCAGUGCUGCCACUUGACUAGAGACCAGCAGGGGACGCUUGAGACAAGUUCGGGUCCUCUGGCCACGCCUAUAGACUCCUUUCCUCUGGGAGAGCAAGGGGCUCGAUCCUCUUGGCCAACAGCUCCCUCCAGCCGGAGAACCUCACAUGAGGACCAGCACCCACUUCUCUGCAAGCUCAGACUGCACUUUACAAGCAAGAAUCAGUCUAGAAGAGUGAGCUCAGACUCAAAAGGGGGCGAUAACACCUUGGAGAUGCUCUGGGCUCCGGGAGGGGCACAAGCCCAGGGGUUAAGGAUGCUCCCCAUUUAGUGCUAGGGUGGAGGGGGGGCCGUUGGCAGUGCACCCCUGCCCCAUUCUGCACGGCCACUCAGGUGAGCACACAGCUUGUACUGGAGGCUGACCUUCGAAGGGCAGGAUUGGAUGUCCAACUUCCCCCUUACCAGCAGGUGCUCCAGACACUUGUACCAAGUUAUCAGAAAUGCCCCCCCCCCCGGCUCAUACAGCCCUUUCUGGGUACAGGUCCAACCACAGGUGGCCACUCAUGACACUGAGACCCAGUCACUCCAGGGCAGGACACCCCCACCAGUGCAGACACUGCUAUGCUUUCAUAUCCUUGCACUUUUAAUAAAUUGAAGGUUUAAUAAAUUGAAGGUGCAUUUUAAUAAAUUGAAGGUUUUGACAACCCUGUGCAAACCUAUCACAUUGUUCCAACAAUGUGCACUCACUGCAUGUCACACAAUCCUCGCAAUAUUUCCAACUUUUCCAUUUUUGCAUUUGCCGCGGCGAUGUGUGGUCAGCGAGCUUUGGUGUUGCUAUAGUAACUGCUGGGGGCAUGAACCACACCCAUAUAAACAAAUGCAUGACUGCUUCACCAACUGGCCCUUCUACCCUCCUUCCCCACCUCGUGCCUCCUUCUCUGAGACAACACUGAAAUUAAGCCAGUCAAUAACCCUAGGCUGUCCUCUAAGUGGUCAGUGAAAGCAAGAGUCACAUGUCUCACUUUCAGUCAAAAGCUAGCUAGAAAUUAAGCUUCGUGAGGAAGGCAGGUUGAAAGCCGAGACAGGUGGAAAACAAGACCUGCAGCUGUUAAGUUGUAAGUAGAGUAAAAGCUCUCAAAAGUGCUACACAAACACACCAAGUUCAACAGCCUCACACUGAGGACACAGAGCGCUUUAGUGUCUGGAUGGGAAGGUCAACCAGCCACGAACACUCCCCUUCAGCCAAAGCCUAAUCCAGAGCAAGGCUGCAACUCUCUCCAAUAUCAAGUUGGAGAGGUGAGAAAGCAGCAUAAAGAAGUUUGAACCAAAAGGCAGAGGGUAUUUCGUGCAGGUUAAGGAAAGAGCCGUCUCCAUUACCCAAGGGCAGGGGGAGGGAAGGUGCCGAGGGGCAGGCUGCAGCACAUCACUCAGAAAAUCAAGGUAGGAUGAUGGCUAAUGGAGGGGCCACACUGAACGUGCAGAGAACAGCCCCACACUGGAGACUCAUAGCUGAACACAAGCCAACGCCCAGCUUCAAAGGACAGGCUGAGAGUCUUGCUCCCUAGCUGCUUUAGCCUCGGGACAAGGUCAGUUACACCAAUCUCAAAUUCCUAGCCCCUGAAUUAGGCUACACUGAUUCUGCCUGUUCUCCAUAAACAGCAAAAGCUCUAACGACAGCACAUGAACAAGCUUUCCUGGGUUGAUUGUAAACUUACUGUUGAGGUUUCUUGCUCAGAAAGAUUCAAGAGAUUCUUGCCCACUGAAUGCACCUGGUCACUCUGGGGCUCUGACGAAGAUGUCCAGAGACUCAGGUUGUUCCCAUGCCUAACCCAUCAGCCAUUCGGUAGCCAUGGAUCAAGAAGAAGUCACCUUCACUUUCAAGACAUUUCAGAGGGCUCUAGCUGCCAGGGAGCCAUUCAUCUGGAUCUGGGCCAAGUGAAUUCAAACUUUCUGGAAAGGAGUCACCUUUCUAGAUGCCAUGAAGAACAUUGCUGUUCAUGGGAAGAGGCCAAAAAUUCCAAUCCUCAGAUGACUGAAGGGUUUCAAGACUUUGUAGAGGAAGUAACUACAGAUGUGAUAGAAAUGGGGAGAGAAGCAGGGGGAGAGGUGGAGCCUGCAGACAUGGCCAAGCUGCUGCAAUUGCCUGAUAAAACUAAUGCAUGAGGUGGUGCUUCUUGGGGAUGAGCAGAGAUCCACCCCCAGCGGAGAUGCCAUGAAAACUACAGAAAUUCAGUUAAUGCAGCAGCAGGGUUUCAGAGGAUGUUCAGAGUUCUGUGGGCAAUAAACCUAUCAGACAGCUUUGCACCUUACAGAGACAGAGUGAAAAGUCAAGCACAGUGGCAAACUUCAUUGUCUUGGAGACACAGCCGCAGCCACCCCAACCUUCAGCGACCACCACUCAUCACGGAGGAAAAGACCUUCCAACCAGCAGAUUACAACUCACUGAAGGAUCAGGCGAAGGUCAGCAGUGUUUAGCAAUGAGGUAUUGAUGGCACCUGCCAUGUAGACCUGCCAUUGCACAGACUACAGUGUAACCUCGAACUUUUAUAUGCUUUGGGAAACCAAAAAAAUUCAUGCGACACUAAUUUGCUUUACUUUAGUGAUCUGAAUGGAACCUGCAGAAUCUCUGGGUAUGACUGAUGCUUUAGAACUGGCCCCCCUCCCAGGAUUCCUAGAAGAAUGGAAACAAGUUCCCUGGUAGUCCAGAAGUUAGGACUCGGGGGCUUUCACCACUGCAGCCCCAGUUCAACCCCUGUUCUGGGAGCCGGGAUCCAACAUCAAGCUGUUCCACGCUAUAGCUUAAAAAAGUAAACAGCAGUCAGUCCAAAGAACUCCUACAAGCAUGAUAAAAGCACUUAAGUCUUGAUUCUGAAAGGUGGGAUCAAAACUUAAUAUUUCUAUUCUUACUGAUCACUAGACAGACCCCUCUAACCCCAGUGAUUUAAGACGCCUAGAGAGAUGCCGGAAUCCAAGGGUAAGCACAUGGCGAACCAGCCAAUGCUCAGGGCUGCCUGCCUAAGCAAGGUGGGCACAUUCCUAAGGGCUGUGACACACAGGAAAUCUCGUGAGACAAGAUGCUCCCAGAGAGAUCCUACAUACUUGGUUCUCUGCCAAAACGUCACUGGCUUCAAGAUCUGAGAUUACUUUAGAGCUGAUCUGCCUGUUAUGAGUUCAUAUUUGAGGAAAGAUGAUUGAGCCUUCUGUUCUGUUGACUUAACAGCCAAUGACUGACAACCCACGCAGAAAGGCUCUCAACCGUCAGAAUGGGCAGUGGCACUUCCUGAUCCAGAUGGUAAUGAAGCAGAUGCGACUUCCCAGGUGCUCGGGUUCAAGUAUGAAACUGCAAGGAGUUGACUUUGUCCUCUAGUGGCGGGGGGGGUAUUCCCCAAGGACCUCAGGAAAACAUAGAACCACUUCAGACCUGACAGUUAUUCAGAGCCCUAAACACAUGAUUACCCUUUGACCCAGCAAUUCCUGUGAAACUGCUUAAAUCCAUCCAUGUUACAGGGUCUCAUAACUACACCACCUUUCGCCGCUAAUAUUCACAAAAGCAAGAUCCAUCAAAAGGUAGAGAAAUAAGACCUGCUGACAUGCAAGCAAUGGUCUGUUAGGAGAAAUGAAUGAAUGUGACAUUGUCACAACGUGCUAAAAUUUGAAGUUAUUCUAAGAGAAAUAAGCCAACGAGACAAAUGCUUCACAAUCAAAUUACAUGAAAUAAGAACAGGCAAGUCAGGGACAAAAAACAUUAGAGGUUGCCAGAGGCUGGGGAAGGGGCAUUGGGAGUCAUCGCUUCAUCGUGGCAGAGCUUAAGUUAUGAACAAGUUCUCAAAUUACACUGGCACUACUGUCACCAAUCCUACACUUAAGGAGUGGUCCAGAUGGCAAAUUUUAUAUGUAUUUGACCACUCAAGCUUUUAGGGGAAAGAAACAGCAGCUCGCCACUCCAAGAUGAGAUUGGAUUGUUAAAAAAGCUCUCCUGUUACAAGACCUAAUGCUUCUGUCCCCCUCAAGUUCAUAGGUUGAAUCCCUAAACCCUCAGUGUGAUAGCAUUUGGAGGUGCAGCCUCAGGGAGGGAGGCUUCGAUGAAGUCAUGAAGGCAGAGCCCCAUGAUGGGAUCGGUGCCCUUUUGAGGUGAAGGAGGGGCCAGGGUUCAUGCUCUUCACCAGGCAAGGGCACAGAACGGAGGCUGCUGUCUGAGCUCAAGAAAGGGCCCUUCAAACACCCACCAAACCUGCUGGCCCCUGGACUCCCAAGCCUCCGGAAUUGAGAAACAGGUCUGUUUCAGCCACCCAGUUCAAAAUAUACAGGAAAGCUAAGAAAUUUCCCCAGGAGUUAGGCUCUGACAUGUAAAGAGCUUGGAAGUCACCUCAUCCAUCAUAGCAAGAAGGAGCAUUGAACGAACUGCAAAUAAGUUCGAUCCAAAGAUCAGGUCACAGGCCCAACCACUGGCAGAAUGCUGACUUCAAUUACAGGGGACAUUCAGAAGAAUCAAAAGGAAACUAAGUGUCCUCAACAGACACAACAGAAAGCAAGGGGUGCCAAGCGUACACCAUGUCUUUUUCAGGCACUGGAAAGGAGGAAUGUUGACACAUUCAGCAACGUGGGCAAAUCUCCACGUGAAGCAGACCCAAGGACCCACGGGGUCUUGGCUCCACUUGUGCCAGAACCGGCAAGCACCCGCCGUCGCCGUGUUGCUCUUUUGUAUGUCCUUACAGUCACGCAUCCCACCACGAGGACAUAGGUCCAGGAGCUCAAGAGGCAGCAAGGGCCCAGCCAUCUAGAAAGCGCUGUCAGCUAACAGCUCAAAAGGCAUCUCCCUGGUAAGCCAAGGUAGCCAGUUAGCAUCAUUGAACUAGAACUUGUUUCACAGACUGAGCUGCCUUCACUGAUCAAGCUCACAACAUACACGUCCUUCCAGCAUCACAUAGCCUGAGUAACUAGAGACCCCCCUUUUACCACCCUGAUAAAGCACCUGACACUGGACUCUUUAGGAUAUGGGCCCAAGAUGUCUUACAAGAACUUGGGGUCAACUAGUUGACUAAUUCAAGCUCCCGCCAGUUAAGACUGGCUGCUAGGACCAUCAGCACUCUAAACUGGGCAUGCCUGAGUGUCCAAAGGAUGGCUUUUUGAUGUCAGGGCCAAAACCUCCUUCAGAUCAAUCCAGCUACCAUUUUCCAAACACAGGCCCCAUGAAGCAGCCUGCAGCUUAGCUGUGGCUCCGCAGAGCCGCGAUUGCCUAUUUCCAACCAUUCCCUACACUGCCCAGGCCUCAGGCCACCCUGCUUCUUUAUCCCAUAAAUACCCUGAGCUGCUUCCCCCUUGGGGUGGGGGGGAUUUAAAGAAUUCCUGGGCUCAGCUGCUUCACGAGUAACCCUUUCUCUGCUGUAAAGGUCUGCAUUUCAGCGUUUGGCUUGCUGGGUGUCAGGCUGAGGAACCCGCUUGGUAACACCUGUGUAUCAGGCCCCGAGUCCCCAUCUGAAGCAGCUUCCUGCCCCCCCUCUUCUCAGUAACUCCCACCCUCCAUUUAACAAGGGGGCCACAUUCCCCUCAAAAAUACCUGGAAAGCUGAGGGAACUGGACCCUUGACCAACGUGCUUCUGACAGACGAGAGGCACUUGUUUCUGGCACACAGGGGCCCCGGGGGCAGUCCUGCCCAACAAGGGGCCUAACGAGCCCAUCCCCCCACUGCCAGCACAAGCACAGUCCUGCCUGAACACCUCAGGUUAGGCUGCUCGCUCCAGUGUUUGGUGGGAGAGGAAGGAGCUGCAAAAACCCCGUUCCCUGAGUCAUCCUUGGUGAGCUCACAAGAUGGCAGCUAAGGUCCAGAGUCAUCCUGAAGCAACAGAACCCCUGGAACCACCAAGUCCGUGAAAGCCAGGCAGAUACAAAACCCUCUGGCAAGCAAGCCCCAUUUGCUCCCCAGGCAACAUCCAGAAACUUCUCAGGUGAGGCCGCCACCCUGUCCACAGCCUGAACAAUGACUCAAGGCCACCAAUAGCCUAAGGUCUGGCAUGUGAACGAAGAAACUCCUGUGGACAUCUAGAGACCACUGCUGUCUCCCCAAAGUGACUAAUCCUGCAGCUGGUAAGGGCGAGACAGGGUUUAGGCAUCUCCACAAAGGAGGCGGGAACGUCAGCACCUCCGAGGAUGCGCAGAGGUCAGGGGAAAGCAAACAAUGAACACAAAGCCUAGUGGGCCGAGUCACAGGCGCCAACAGAACUAAGCACCCUCGAAGGUCACAUGGCAAAAUAAAGUCAGUGAAGGACCACUCACUGAUGACAAUAAAAAUGCAGCUGUCACCAAAAAGAUGACAUUCCCCCUCCUAAACCCGAGAGCUCACUGAGGCAGCCCAGCAAGGGAAGUGAUACCUGCUGAGUCCCAAACCACCCGUGGAUCCAGGACUAUCUGAUUACAGGUUGAGCCAUUUGGCCCCUCUGAGGACUGGAUCUACCACGCCCUUUUCCCCACCUCUCAUCUGUCACAGCAUCUCAAGGGAGGACGACGACAGAGUCUACAUCCAUCAAGAACAGAAGUUGGGUCAGGGAGGGUCACGAAUCCAGCAGCAACCAAGCCAGACACUAGGUGGUCACCCACAAACCAGCAGCUCCAUUCCACUCACGGCGACUCCACCCACCUCAGCCUUCAAGUGCCCCAGGGUCAAGCACAUUUCACCCAUCCUCAAGGGUUAACAUGCAUGUUGAUUUGAUCAGAGGAACAAGGACCCCCCCCCCGCUAGUGACAUUAAUCAUUGGCUUUAGUCGCCUUGGCACAAGGUAAGGUUCAAGAACAAGAUGGCACAGUAGUGAACGGGCUCAGGCUCACCUCUCACGAAAAUGCCAUAAGCCACAACUGCUGCUCAACCAAAGACUGGAAACUACCAGAGAAAAUAUUCCACACCCAAAGAAGCCACAUCAAGACAGGAGGAGCUGCGCUUUCGCCAUAUAAGCAACCCCACGCCUGCCAGGUGGGAGACCCACAGACUGGAAAACUAUCAGAGGCUCUCCCACGGGAGUGACAAUUCCUAACCCCAGGUCAGGUUCCCCAGCCUGGGGCUGGCAUUAGGAGGAGCUGCCCCCGGUGCAUUUGCUAUUGAAGUUCCAGCAGGGCUUCAGCUCCGUGGGACUGGGGGAACCAGACUCUUCUCUUGGAGGGCGCACACACACUGGGGCCCAGGGCAAAGCAGGACUCACGCCUAUAGAAUCUGGGCCGGACCUCCAUGCAGGUCUUAGAGGGUCUCCUGGGGAGGCUGUGGGCUCACUGUGGGGUCGGCACACGGGAGGCAGAGACCCCAGGGAACAAACAUCGGUGUGAGCGCCCCCCACCCCCCUUCACAGCCUGCAGGCUCCAGUACUUAGAAGCCAGACAGCAAGGCGGGAACAUGGCCCCCUCUAAACACACCCCUUGACACAACCCAGCUCCACCCACCAGAAGGCAGGCCCCUCCCAUCAGGAAGCCUGAUCAAACCCCUAGGAUUCACUUCACCCAACAAGAAGCAGGUAGAAGCAAGAGGGGCUACAAGCCUACAGCCUAGAGAAAGGAGACCAGACACAGAAGGCUGGAAAAAAGUGAAACGGCAGAGAAAUAUGCUCCAGCCAAAGGAACACGACAAAAUCCCAGAGUAAGAGGCGACAGACAGGUAGCCCCCAUGAAAGACCUCAGAGUAAUAAUGAUAGUAAAGGUUGACUCAAGACCCUGGAGAACGCAGGCAUCGGGCACAGAGAAGAGCCAGCUUACAGAGGCAACAUUAUCCAAACACCCAACAGCCCUGAAACUCAACAUUACACACGAAGGGAAACUUCAUGUCGUCUACACAGCAGAAACACUGCUAUCAGUGCACCGUCCCAGCCCUCACAAGGCUUCCCGUCCGGCAGGGACUACAGCUGAGUAGGGCCAACUUAGACAUCAGGUGACCAACAGCAAGUCCUACAAGUUCAAGUCAUGUCUGUCAUCCAAGUGCAGAUCACCAGCUCCAGGGAGGGCCCUACGUCCCCAGGGCCCCCACCGCAGCCCCCUCCCCUGGAUCCUGGCUGUAUGCCAACCUUUCUCCAAGCCCCACCCCCAGGUUUGCUUCGUACCCAAAGUUGGGAAAAAAGACCUAUGAACUUCCGAAAGACUAAAAGGUCAUUGGGUACCACAUCAUGGCAACGAAGAGGCAGAGGCAUUCAGAGUGACGUCAUCGGAUUCCCACGUCAGGCCUUGACUCCCGUCACCUGGUUUCCUCCCCCAGGGCGGGCGUUCUCUGCCUCCUGAGGGCUUUGCUGGGAGCCUUUUGUGGUUGGUAGGAAAAGCCAGACCCCACUUACAAACAUCUUCAGCAAGCUGGCCGCUUCCUCACAUCUUCCUGGGAGAGACCAGCUCAGCCUGGACCACGAGGGGGGCCCGGUCAGGACCCCAACCUCUGCAUGCCCAGGGCAAAGGCUUCUGGGUUUAAAAAGAUAAGAUUCCCCCGUUCAAGCGGUCCCCUUUGUCUUAACUGACCUCACGUUCCAAGGUCCUGAAGAGAAGACGGUGGUAGGGGGUGAAGAAUUUCAUCACCAGGUGACUGCCACCAACACCACCCUAUUACCCUGAGUACCUCUACCCAAGAAGGUGCCCGAGGUCCCCAUAUAAGUCCCAAGUCAGGACUGCCAUGCAUGAGGGCAAUCACCACCAAAAGCCUCAUGAACUUACAACCCCCAUUUUUCUAGGUGGUCCAGGAAGCCCCCCCACCCCCGCCCCGACUGCAGCCCGUUCCCAGCUCCAGGGCAAGGCCGCUGGAAUUUGCGAGCAUCUUGCUUGGUACGUUCCAAGGCUGAGCUGUGUCAUUUUGGCCUGCCAGGCACCUAGAGGACACCGUUUGUCCUGGGAUCGGAAGGCCACGCCUGAGUCUCCUCCCCACUUUCAGCCUGUUACCAGGUGGUCAGCAGGAUUCAGACCUUCCCUCUGGUCUGUUUAAGGGGAAACAGGGCAACCCCCGCCAUAGCCCAGAACCAAGCAAACACGUUUAGCGAAUCCCCUCCCCAUCCACCCGCUGUGCAAACCCCAGCACAGGCUCACAGCUCCAGCCUCCGCCUCAUCCCCAGGGACUACUCAGACAUGGGCACCACCCCCAGGGCUCCUGUGCCCACCUGCCUUCAGUCAGGCUGUAUCCUCACCCCCACCUACUCUCAAGCCUCUUUAGACCCCAGCAAGGAAACCCUGCUCUGAUCUUGAGCUCUGCUUUGUGCAGGCAGUGUGGGUAAGGAAGGUAAAGCCCUGUUUCACACCUAGCUGGAGCCUUGCCCCUCAGGACUCCAAAGCCCCAGCUGUUCUGAGCCCACAUAUCCCAGAAGGUCAAAGCCAGCCAUUGCGUGAGAUGCUGACUUCAGCCAACACAGGCACCAGUCCUCCUGCCUCUGCAGCAAAGGAAGACAGCAGAGGACACCAGUUCACAGCCACCCAGGAAGCACGUUCUUACCCAGACUGGCCUCCAGCUUCAAUGAAUCAGUAGACCCCAAGCACUUGGUGGAAGACUCCAUACCAGCCUGGGGCCUGAGCGUUUUCUGCUGAGCUUUGCCAUUACAAGGCGGGUUCCUCUAGAUUUCAAUAGCUUCCUAAGGGCCCUGCCCUCCAGAAACCGCAGGGACAAGGGGUGAAGGUGGGACUCAGGCACCAACGCUCCACCGCAUGACAGGAAAAGCCCCGACUACGCAAGGUGACAGGAGCAGCAUUCCUAGGCCAGCCAGGGAUCCAACACCAAAGCAAGCUAGAGCCGGAAGCCAGGGACAGCCCUCAAGCAGUAGUCUGGGGAGUGUUCCCUGCCCAUUAAGCCUCAAAAGAUUUGCUUGCCUCCAUCUGCAGGCCUUGACUCCUAAAGCACUCUGCACUCCAAAGCCACCCCCACCACCUCCCGGGAAUCUUGACAGGUGCCAGUUCGUGGGGAGCCACACGCCUCCCCUAAACUCAAGACUCUUCCAGCGGUUACAGACCAACUCUUCCCCUGACCACGCCCCCCCCGCCCCCAUUGAGUACUCCCGUCUCAUCACAAACCCUUGCCAGCGUGGAGUCCGUCUCCAACACCAGGCCCUAGCAGUCCUUAUUACAGUUUAGAGGAAUCAGCCUUUUAGCCGAGAGCUCUUGGGCACACAGCCGUGUCUGGAACGUAGUAAAGAUGUAAUGGAUUCAGAGUCAACAUCGAUUUUGCCACAUACCUGAAGAGCAAUCUGACAGUAGAUAAACAUGCUUUAUAAACCUCACCUGAGUCUCAAAACACUCAUCUACCACUUAUGUUAGAUAGUUGGCGAGCAAGGUGAGAAACUAGCUAGCAAGACCUUGUGUCACCGCACAUCCGUGAGGCUGAAGCUCGUUUGUGUUCCACACUCAAUAACGGGUGCAUCGGAAGCAGACAGAGCAGCCUCCUAUCCAGAGCCACUUGAAAGCCAGGUACCUCAAUUCUUUUGAGCUAACCUAGAACUGAAUAGGCAAAACCAAGUCUACCUCCACUGAGCUGCGGGCACAAGUAAUUUAGAGCAACUACUGACUGAUUCAAAGCAGUUGAUUCUUGACACUCUUCCUCGCUAUUAUGUCAAAGUAACUUUAGUCCUGUUAGCGAUCUGAUUCCCAUCGCGGGGCAAUUUUUUUUUUUUUUUUUUUUAAAA